rnacentral:rRNA from 1 species
GACGAACGCUGGCGGCGUGCUUAACACAUGCAAGUCGAACGGAAAGGCCCUGCUUUUGCGGGUCGCUCGAGUGGCGAACGGGUGAGUAAAACGCGAGUAACCUGCCCCUGUCUUAGGGAUAACUUCAGGAAAAUCGGGCUAAUAUAGGAUAUGAGAUCCUGCAGCACGGGGUGGGUUGGUAAGAUUCGGCGGUGCGGGAUGGACUCGCGGCUUAUCAGCUUGUUUGUCAGGUAGUGGCUUACCAAGGUUUUGACGGAUAGCCGGCCUGAGAGCGUGACCGGCCACAUUGGGACUGAGAGAGGGCCCAGACUCCUACGGGAGGCAGCAGUGGGGAAUAUGGCACAAUAGGCGGAAGCCUGAUGCAGCAGCGCCGCGUGCGGGAUGACGGCCUUCGAGUUGUAAACCGCUGUCGCCUGAGACGAAGCGUGAGUGACGGUAAUGGGUAAAGAAGCACCGGCUAACUACGUG